rnacentral:rRNA from 1 species
UAAUACGGAAGGUGCAAGCGUUGUCCGGAUUGACUGGGUGUAAAGGGCGCGUAGGCGGAGAUGUGUGUCGGGAGUGAAAUCGUGCGGCUUAACCGUACAAUUGCUUUCGAAACUACAUCCCUUGAGUACAGAAGGGGUUGAUGGAAUACCUGGUGUAGCGGUGGAAUGCGUAGAUAUCAGGUAGAACACCGGAGGCGAAGGCGGUCAACUGGUCUGUAACUGACGCUGAGGCGCGAAAGUGUGGGGAGCAAACAGGAUUAGAUACCCUGGUAGUCCACACCGUAAACGAUGAUCACUAGUCGUCGGAGGAUUCGACCCCUUCGGUGACGUCGCUAACGCAUUAAGUGAUCCACCUGGGGAGUACGCUCGCAAGGGUGAAACUCAAAGGAAUUGACGG